rnacentral:rRNA from 1 species
UACGUAGGGGGCAAGCGUUGUCCGGAUUUAUUGGGCGUAAAGAGCGUGUAGGCGGCUUGGUAGGUCCGCUGUGAAAACUCGAGGCUCAACCUCGAGAUGUCGGCGGAAACCACUUGGCUAGAGUCCGGAAGAGGAGAGUGGAAUUCCCGGUGUAGCGGUGAAAUGCGCAGAUAUCGGGAAGAACACCUAUGGCGAAGGCAGCUCUCUGGGACGGUACUGACGCUGAGACGCGAAAAGCGUGGGGGAGCAAAACAGG